rnacentral:rRNA from 1 species
GGCUUAGAAGCAGCCAUCCUUGAAAGAGUGCGUAAUAGCUCACUGGUCAAGUGAUUCUGCGCCGAUAAUGUAGCGGGGCUCAAGUACACCGCCGAAGUUGUGGCAAUGAUCUUUUUGGAUUGUUGGGUAGGGGAGCGUCGUGUGGCCGUUGAAGCUGCGGUGUAAACCAGUGGUGGAGGCUAUGCGAGUGAGAAUGCAGGCAUGAGUAGCGAAAGAUGAGUGAGAAACUCAUCCGCCGGAUGAUCAAGGGUUCCAGGGUCAAGUUAAUCUGCCCUGGGUUAGUCGGGGCCUAAGGCGAGGCCGACAGGCGUAGUCGAUGGAUAACGGGUUGAUAUUCCCGUACCGGUGAAAAACCGCCCAUACUGAUAUUGUGAUGCUAACCAUGCGAAGCAUGAUGUGCAGGCUUUUGUUUGUGUGUUGUGUGGGUUGUGGGACCCGAUCUUUGGAGGUAAACGUGUUAACAGGUGUGACGCAGGAAGGUAGCCAAGCCACGCGAUGGUUGUCGUGGUCUAAGCGUGUAGGGUUGUCGGUUGUUAAAUGCGCUGGCUGUGUGCCUGAGACGUGAUGGGACCCCGUUUUUGGGGGAUUUGGUGAUCCUAUGCUGCCGAGAAAAGCAUCGGCGUGAGGUUUUAGCCGCCCGUACCCUAAACCGACACAGGUGAUCAGGUAGAGAAUACUAAGGCGAUCGAGAGAAUCAUGGUUAAGGAACUCGGCAAAAUGCCCCCGUAACUUCGGGAGAAGGGGGACCUUGAGCGUGAUGGGCACUUGCUGCCUGGAGCGUGUAUGGGUCGCAGAGACCAGGGGGAAGCGACUGUUUAUCAAAAACACAGGUCCGUGCGAAGUCGUAAGACGAUGUAUACGGACUGACUCCUGCCCGGUGCUGGAAGGUUAAGAGGAUUGGUUAGCCCUUUUUGGGCGAAGCUGAGAAUUUAAGCCCCAGUAAACGGCGGUGGUAACUAUAACCAUCCUAAGGUAGCGAAAUUCCUUGUCGGGUAAGUUCCGACCUGCACGAAUGGAGUAACGACUUCCCUACUGUCUCAACCAUGAACUCGGCGAAAUUGCAGUACGAGUAAAGAUGCUCGUUUCGCGCAGCAGGACGGAAAGACCCCGUGACCUUUACUAUAGUUUGGUAUUGGUGUUUGGUUUGGCUUGUGUAGGAUAGGUGGGAGACUGUGAAGCAUGGACGCUAGUUUGUGUGGAGUCGUUGUUGAAAUACCACUCUGGUCAAUCUGGAUGUCUAACUUCGGGCCAUGAUCUGGUUCAGGGACAGUGCCUGAUGGGUAGUUUAACUGGGGCGGUUGCCUCCUAAAGUGUAACGGAGGCGCCCAAAGGUUCCCUCAGCCUGGUUGGCAAUCAGGUGUUGAGUGUAAGUGCACAAGGGAGCUUGACUGUGAGACUGGCAGGUCGAGCAGGGACGAAAGUCGGGACUAGUGAUCCGGCGGUACGUUGUGGAACGGCCGUCGCUCAACGGAUAAAAGGUACCUCGGGGAUAACAGGCUGAUCUUGCCCAAGAGUCCAUAUCGACGGCAUGGUUUGGCACCUCGAUGUCGGCUCGUCGCAUCCUGGGGCUGGAGUUGGUCCCAAGGGUUGGGCUGUUCGCCCAUUAAAGCGGUACGCGAGCUGGGUUCAGAACGUCGUGAGACAGUUCGGUCCCUAUCCGCUGCGCGCGUUGGAAAUUUGAGAAAGGCUGUCCUUAGUACGAGAGGACCGGGACGGACGAACCUCUGGUAUGUCAGUUGUACCGCCAGGUGCAUGGCUGAUUGGCUACGUUCGGGAGGGAUAACCGCUGAAAGCAUCUAAGCGGGAAGCCUGUUUCGAGAUGAGAUUUCCUGGCACUUUUUGGUGUGUGAGGCUCCUUAUAGAUGAUGAGGUUGAUAGGCCGGGUAUGGAAGCGGGGACUGAAGACUCGUGGAGUUGACUGGUACUAAUAGGCCGAAGGCUUACUUU